GCGGUAAGCAGGACGCGACAUGUGGCCGGAAGCCUAUCAGCCCGUGUUGUUGGAUCUUUGUGUGCAUUCCCUCGUUGUGCAAUGUUCUUUGCCCCAAAUCCUUCAGCUGGCGGACUGCUGUCGUUGCUAAUUGAAUAGCUCAAUCAGUGAUCCUUGACUUUGCAGGGAUAGUCGACACUUCAACAUGGCGUCCAGCUCCAGGGCCUUGUACCUUUUCAUAUUCUCUCUGGCACUAUGUCACUCAGUCAAUGCGGGGAUGAGCAACGUCGAGAAAAUUCAGCUGGCUUUCAAGCAGAUCACCACUGCGUCCGACAACCUCCGCAAGGAAACGCAGUUGAUCAACAUCAUCAAUGCUCCGCUCCAGGGUUCCAAGAUUGCUGAGGGAUUCGCUAAAAUCAUCAGCGCCAUCGCCGAGUACACGAUCAAGAUUAACGAGGGUGGCGUCAAGAACGACAACAGUCCUCUGCCAGACGCGGACGCUAAGCUCGUCGUGCAAUCCCUGACGACCUUCGUGCAGGUGCACCAGGCAUUGCUCAAUGUGGUGAUCGGCAAGCACGGCCUCCUUACUUUGAUCCCGUUCUUCGAGCCCAUCAGGUUGUCGCUGGUGUCCCUGGAAGCAACCAUAGACGCCUUCGCGUUUGCCCUCAUCGCCGAAAUCCCCACCCAGAAGCCCGCCGCAGAUGUGCAAUUCGGGUCCCUCAGUAUAACUCUCCAGGUUGCCAUCACCACCUACUCGUCGCCCAUAUUGGAAUCGAACAACCUGCAGGAGAUGAACACUACUGAGAAAAUCGUGCUGGCGUUCAAGCAGAUCACCACUGCGUCCGACAACCUCCGCAAGGAAGUGCAGCUGAUCAACAUCAUCAAUGCUCCUCUCCAGGGCUUCAAGAUUGCUGAGGGAUUCGCUAAAAUCAUCAGCGCCAUCGCCGAGUACACGAUCAAGAUUAACGAGGGUGGCGUCAAGAACUACAACAGUCCUUUGCCAGACGCGGACGCCCAGAUCGUGGUGCAAUCCCUGACGACCUUCGUGCAAGUGCACCAGGCAUUGCUCAAUGUGGUGAUCGGCAAGCACGGCCUCCUUACUUUGAUCCCGUUCUUCGAGCCCAUCAGGUUGUCGCUGGUGUCCCUGGAAGCAACCAUAGACGCCUUCGCGUUUGCCCUCAUAGCCGAAAUCCCCACCCAGAAGCCCGCCGCAGAUGUGCAAUUCGGGUCCCUCAGUGUAACCCUCCAGGUUGCCAUCACCACCUACUCGUCGCCCAUAUUGGAAUCGAACAACCUGCAGGAGAUGAACACUACUGAGAAAAUCGUGCUGGCGUUCAAGCAGAUCACCACUGCGUCCGACAACCUCCGCAAGGAAGUGCAGCUGAUCAACAUCAUCAAUGCUCCUCUCCAGGGCUUCAAGAUUGCUGAGGGAUUCGCUAAAAUCAUCAGCGCCAUCGCCGAGUACACGAUCAAGAUUAACGAGGGUGGCGUCAAGAACUACAACAGUCCUUUGCCAGACGCGGACGCCCAGAUCGUGGUGCAAUCCCUGACGACCUUCGUGCAAGUGCACCAGGCAUUGCUCAAUGUGGUGAUCGGCAAGCACGGCCUCCUUACUUUGAUCCCGUUCUUCGAGCCCAUCAGGUUGUCGCUGGUGUCCCUGGAAGCAACCAUAGACGCCUUCGCGUUUGCCCUCAUAGCCGAAAUCCCCACCCAGAAGCCCGCCGCAGAUGUGCAAUUCGGGUCCCUCAGUGUAACUCUCCAGGUUGCCAUCACCACCUACUCGUCGCCCCUCGCCAAGCUCGGGGAGACGAUGAAAGAAAUUGCGAUAUCCGCUUAGAAAGUUUUUUGCGCCAUCGUGAAUAUAUGAUAGACGGUUGUUAAUGGAAGAGAGGUGUGUGUGAUAGCCUUCUGCAAGACGAGUUUUAGUAUGUAAAUAAAUGCUGCACCAUAUGGGCCGUUUUAUCGUAUGAAAUACAGUGCAGUAAUGGCUUUUGCUCCAUUCGGAGGCGUAAAGGAAAGUCUAUCACCUUCAUGGCUGUGAUACCUAUAUUACAUGUUAGCAUAUAAUUUGUGGUAACGUCUUUUUUGCAUCUUGUCUCACAAACAAAAAACCAUCCCCUCAUGGAUAUUGUCUGAUUCCAGAUCCGGUUCUGUGAAAUCAUGACCGUAAAAACAAUUUCAUGUUAAAUAACGUCGGAAGUAUAAAAGCCGAGAACGUGAGUAGUAAGAAUGAAUCGUGUAACACAAUGAGAUACACUUAACGUUUAAUACCGCAAUACGUUACUGUUCGUGUUUCCAUGUCUCCAGUUCUCUAUUGACGACAUUCACAUAGAAGUAAUGAAGUUAAUGCCGAGUGUGUGAUGGAAUGCAUACUUCUACGUGUAUUUCCAUCAACAUAUCCUCGAUCUAUUUUAGCUGCAUCUAUUUGAUUUUUCGAAAUUCAUCGUCCUCAACCAAAGCACAUUUACUUCAUCUGUUUACUUCAUCUACUGGGAGAUAAAAAUACUUGAUGUUGAUCUUAUCUGGCUUUCUAGAGAUCUAAAGCUACAUCUUAAACUCAUAAUGCAUGGUUAAGUAAGUAAGAAAUGAGACAUGGAAUUGUUGAAAGAAUUGUUUGCUUUUAAUUAGAAUCAUAAUAAUCAUUGUGAAAAAUUACAAAAUGAGGGUGAGUGUAUUUACAGUUGCCAUGACGAUGAGGUUUUUUUAAUCACUGUUUGAUCUGAGUAAGCCUAUAUUAGCUAUAACUAUCUAAAGUGGCUUAACUGUCAUGUUUAAUUAAAUAUGUGUUUAAUACAUGGAAAUCGUAUCAUUAUAACUAUUUCUAAUUUCUUCUUUUUUAAUAAUUAUCAUACUAAUUCUUCUCUUUUUUUUUUCUUUUUUUAAAUUAUUUAUACUUAAUUUAUUUCUUUUUUUUCUUUUAGAUUUUUUUAUACUAAGUCUUUUUUUAUUGUUUUCUAUUUUGUUUAGAAUUUAAUAAAAAAAUGUAUAGAGAUUAUAGUUAAAAAUAUAAAAUUAGGAGUUAAAAAUUAAGUAUAUAUCUUAACAUAAUCUUUUGUUCAUAAGUUUAAAUAAUUAAGAUAAUUUUUUUUUACUUGAAGAAUAAAUUUCUUGUAUAAAUAAGUGUUUAAGCCUUACUAAAGCUCACAAAGUAGUGUGUGGGUUGUCUUAUAAGGGCUAAAAGGCCAUAGGCUUAUCCUCCUACAUACAUCCAAGGUGCUACAACAUAUGUAGGAUAUAUGUAUCUUCUUUCUUACAAGUACUACUUUGGAUGUUGAUUACUAUGAUUUAUAUUAAUAAAACAUGUUUUCUUUUGCAAUUUUGAAUUCACUUUAGUGUUAAAAAGACCUAGUUAGUCAAGGAUAUAUUUAAGCUCUCAAAUAUUUCUCCAAUUAUUUAUAAUAGCUUUCUAAGGUGUUAAAACUAUUUUCACCAAAUUCUUGAAAAUAUGAUUGUAAAAUAUCUUUAUUUAUUAUUGUUAUUUUUUUAUAUAAUUAAAAAAAUUGUAAUAGUUUUUAAAGAUUAUAAUAUUAUUUUAAAGCUACUUUAGUAUACAGUUAUGAAGUAUUUUAGUAAUAAAAUAAAUUUAAAUUAGUUAUUUGUUUAUUCUAUAUAUAUAAUUAAAAAAACCAUGAUGUUUCUUUUUUGUAUUUUUUCUACCUUCUAUCUAAUAUUUAUAAGUAUUUAAUAUAUUUUAAUAUGAUACAUAUGAUACAUAUGAUUUUAACACCAUGUAAGAUAAAAUCUUUAUAACUAAAUACUAAUCAUUAAAAUUUAAAAAAUAUAUCAAAUUAACUAAGGUAUUUAUUUCUAAGACUAAUUAAGACUUUAGUUUAAUGAAUUUUUACUUAAUUAGACUCGUUUAAUUUAUAAAAUCUUCUAAAUCUUAAAAAAUACUUAAAUAAUAACAUAUAUUUUUAAUCUUAAUAUUUUUAUAUUUAAACAACAUUAAAACUUGGUUUUUAAUAAUUCCACCAAUUAAUAUGCAUUGGUGGAAUUUCUAUUUUUUUUUAGUUUUUUUUAGUUCUUUUUUCUUUUUUCUUUUUCUUAAUUAUAGUUACAUUAUUAAUUUUUUUUUACAAGUCUUUGUUCUAUCUAUGUAUCUUUGAUUAUUAUUUUUAAUUUUUUUAUUCUAAAGUAUAUUUUUUAUAAUAUAAAUUAAAUAGGCUAUCAAUCUUAUAUGUAAUAUUAAUUAAAAAGAUAUCAUAUUAAAAAAAUCACUUAGAUUAGUACAAUAAAAAAAUAAUAAAAGAAAAAAAUUAAAAAUAUCAUUUAAUUGAUUUAUAAAUUAAACUUCUUUUCAUAUAAUCUUUGGUUUAAGCUUUGGUACUCUAGACACAUAUCUAUCCCCAAUUCUGUAAUGUGGCAUUUUUUUUAAACUUUGUUAUGAGUUUAAUUAAGACUCAAUGAUCAAACUCAAAUCCCUCCAAAUCAUAUUAUCUUUUAUCAAGUAUCACUCUAUAAUACAACUCAAUACUACUAAUUUUGAUAAAAUAAAUAAAAAAAGAAUAUAAUCUAAAGUUGAAAAGAAUUCCACAUUAGCCACAAUUACAAGUUGAAAAUAAUAUUACUUUGUUCAAAAUUAUAUUAUACAUAGUAUUAUUUUGCUCAAAAUCUACAAGACAAGAAUAGAAUGGAAUAGUAUAGAGAAUAAAGAUUAUACAAGUUAAUUAUAUUUGAUAUCAAUUUAAUAGAAUAAUGGUAGCAACAAAAGAAAAAAGAAGCACUUCAAUUUGGUCUUAUUAUACACUUAUGCUACUUCUAUUUAAUUAUGGCGGCUAAUUGUCUUUGCUUUAGCAACUACUUAUUAUUUUGCCUUAAUUGAUCUAACUUGGAUGUGUGGUUUUUAAAGAAGUUAGAUAUUUUUAGUUUGUCUUAUAUUCUACACUCUAAAAAUUAGUCCAAUUAGGAUGUUUGGUUCUUAUAUGAGGUGGAUAUUUUUGACAUGCUCUAGAUUGCUAUGUUUUAUUAUCAAAUUUUAAAUAGGUCAAAUAUUUCCAAUCCACCUUUAAUUAAUUGGUUUAGAUUUUUUUUGCUUUUUAGAUCUUAAUAAUCUAUAUUUUUUUCUAAGUUAAUUGAAUAGUCUAAAAUAGGCUCAUGUCUUUGUUUUAUGACCAAUCUAUUGACAAUUGCUAUUUUUACUUGGUUAUUUUUAAAACUUUUUGAUACAUAAACUUCAUUUAAUAUUGCGUGAAUUAACUUGAAUGUUGUCUUUCUUGAAAUUUUUUGUCAUUAUUUUUUUUCUAUUUAGAUUUCAACUAUUAAAAUUUUCUCAAUUUUUUUAUCUUAUCUUCUAGAUAGUGUAGUUAAGACUUGUUCUUAUGUAGGUUAGUUAUAAGCUAUUAUACUACAAUUUUUGUUGGUUCCAAUAUUUUUUAACUAUUGCUUAUUUCUUCUAAACAAUAUUAUAUCUAUUCUUUGUAAAAUUUGGAUCUUCUAUUGUUAUUGUCAUUGUCAAUGUUAAUUUUGGUGUAAUAUAUUUUUAUUUUGUUCCUUAUUUUAAGUAUCUUUCCCAAUCCUCUCACUAUGCUCUUUUAUUUCUUUUUAUUCCAACUUACUUCAUGCUAAAAUCUCAUUUAUUUUAGCAAUUCUUUUUAUUUCUAAUUUUAUUUUUUUAUCUUCUUGUACUAAAAAUAACUUCUAUCUUUCUUUCUAUAAAGGCUAUAUCUUUCACCAAAUUCUCUAAACAAAAUGGUUGAUCUAUUAUUUUUUUAAAUUUUUUUUAUAUAUCUUUUUUUUUACAAAAAUUAUCCUUUUAAAUUAAAACUUUAAUUUUUUAAAGAAAAUAUAUUUAAUUUUUUUAAUAUUUUUAUUUUAUUCUAAAAAUAAAUAUAAAAUAUUCUUAAAAAUUAGUAAAUUUUAGAUGCUUUUGGAUUUUAGAUUGAAGUUGCUACUACUAUCAUAAAGCUGAAGCUUUUUGAUACAAUCUUUUUUUUGGCAGAUCUUUCUUUCUUCCAAAGAUUUUUUUUCUUUCGAAUAUUUUUUAUCUUCUUUUUUAUCUUUAUUAGUCUAAAUAUAAAUUUUUAUGUUGAUAUGUAUCUUUUAUUAUGGUACUAUAAGUUCUUUUGGUAGACUUUGCCUAUCAAUUUCUAAUAGCCUUUGUGAAGUAUUUAAAAAAAGAAAAGAAAUAAGAAUUACUUUAUUCUUAAUUCUUCUUAGCAAAAAUAUGAUUCAAAAAAUCAAAAAAUUUAUAAUUUUAGAAUAAUAAUUCUCAUUAUAGUACCAAAAAUUAUAAUUAUUAGGUAAAAUUAGUAUAAUAAUAUUUAAAUAAAAAAUUAAUAUUAAUUAUAAGAAUAAAAAUCUAUAUAAGAAUCUCCUUAUAAUAUUCCAACUUUCAAAGACAACAUAAUAGCUAUAUUUUUACAAGUGUUCUAUAAGACUUGAAAUUCAUCAAUGUUCAAUUGUUUGGCGUAAUUGAGAUUAUUGCAACUGAUUGAUGGAUACUGUCAUGGACAUAUGCAUGUAAGCCAAUAAUUACAUGUAUAAAUAGAUGAAAGUAAGUAAAAAUAGAUAAAAGUAAGUUAAUUCUAUAGUAUUUGAUAUAGAAGCUUCAUAGAUGCUGCUUUGACUUUAUAGGUAUCUAUAAUUGACUUUUUGGGAUUAGAAAUGUGGUCAACAAGUUAGCCAUGUGCCACACAUGUUGUUAGCUUGAAGACUAAGCUAAUUAUGUGGCCCAUAUGUAAAAAAACUUGCCUUGUAAGUCAAGGCAUGUAUCCUACAAAGUCAACAUAUAUUGGAGGUUCUAUAGAAUGUUGCCACAUAGCCUCUAGUUAGAUAGUAUAUAUAGAGACAAGAGUGAAGCCUUCUUCACUCUUGUCAACUCCUUUCUUGCUUCCAAUCUAGUUUCAAGGAUCUCUAUUUUUCUUGGCUUUUGAUGAUAGCCAUUCCAAUUUCUUUCUUAAUAUAUAUAUAUCAAGUUAUUUCUAUUUUGUCAUCUUUCUAUGAGAGAAGUCUCACUUAUUUAUUUGUCUUUAUCAUGUUCUUGUCCUUGACAGAUUGACAAGAGUACACUUACAAUAUCAAAGCUUUGUCUAAUCUUGAUUAAGAGUGGAUUAUCCCAUUUUCUUGAUAAGACACAAGCAUAUUAGAAGUUAUGGAUUACCCUCUUCUAAACUACUAUUAUCUUUAGUAUUUUCUUUGUUCUCAAGUCCUUUCUUCUAUUUAUCUAGAGCGAUGUUAGACAUCUUCUCUUUUUUAAGUGUUAUCAUGGGAGAACUUACUGAAAUGAAGAGUGCAAUGGCACAAAUGUAAGAGCAAUUGAAGGAGUUAAUGCUUGCGAUGCAUCAAUUCAAUUUACCACGACAAGGAGCAACAAGAUUGGCAGGAAGUGAAGAUAUAGAAAUGAUCGAAGCUGCUUCAACAUCUGCACCAAAUUAUGUCCUUUCUUCUAUGGUGGAACGUCCUUCCAAUAUUAGAGAACCAAGAAUUACCCUAUCCGAGAAGUUUGAUGGCACUAGGUUCAAAUUUCGAGGAUUUAUCAAUCAAGUGCAACUUGUGAUUGAACUUCAACCCCAAAGCUAUCCAACUCCAGCAUCGCAAGUUAGAUUCAUUGGUAUGCUUCUUUUAGGUUCAAUACUAUCAUAAUUUUCAUCUUUUUUUGAACGACGAGAUCCAAUAUUGGAUAAUCUAGAAGCUUUUUUGGCAAAGUUUCGAUCCAUGUAUGGAGAACAUGAUGCAAUUCGUGUUGCAACCAAUAAGAUCCAUAUUUUACGAUAAGACAAUUAAUAAGUAACGUUGUAUGCUUUACAAUUUUGACAACUUGUAACUGAUAUCAAGUGGGAUGAUGCUGCAUUUAUUAGCCAAUUUCUCUAUGGAUUAUAAUAUAGUAUAAAAAAAUUAAUGCUCAACUUAUCUGAUCGUCAAACAUUGAGUUAAGCAAUUGACUUUGUUGUGAAGUGCAACAAUCACCUUUUUGAAUUUUGAUCUGAGAACUGUACAAGUGGACCUCAGUAUUACUAUAAUUCAAUGGCAACACUAAGACCUCUUCAACACAUACAUUCGGAAGUAGAGGAUAUGCAAAUUGAUGCAGUAUGUUUCAAACCUCUUACUAAGCAAGAAAAGACUCAUUGUUGUCAAAAAGGACUGUGCUUAUAUUGUGGAGAACCUAAGCAUAAUGCUUAACAUUGUUCAAAGAAGCGAUGCAACCAUAAAAUGAGGAAUACGGCGAUUAAAGAAGAUAGCAUGUCAAAAAAUGAAUUUGUCUAGCUACAAUAGGGACCGUGUGGCUAGAACCUUGUACAAUGCUUAGUAAAAGUCCUAUCCUCUCCUUAGAAUCCUCUCCAUGUUUUACAAUAAAUGUUAUUCUACGACCUAAACAUUUCAAAGCCUCUGCCUUGCUAGAUUCAAGAGCCUCAGUAUGUUUCUUAAAUGAAAACUCUGCUAAAAGAUAUAGCAUAUUUUUAGUAAAGAAAACUAAACUUGUUCAAUUAGAAGUCAUAGAUGGUCGUCCGUUGUCUUCAGGAGAUGUUACUCAUGAAAUCCUUCCUAUAGAAAUAGCAAUUAAUGGUCAUAGUAGCUUUAUAAUAUUUAAUAUCAUUAGAUCUCUUUCUAAUCCAAUCAUUUUAGGUUUAUCGUGGCUAAAAAAAUAUAAUCUUAAAAUAGAUUGGACUUCUCAUAGUCUUGACUUUUCUAAAAGUAUAACUAAGAGUGUAAUUAAUCAAGUAGAAAGUCAUAAGUCUAGUAUAAUUAAACUUAUAUUUGUAGGUACAAGUACUUUCUUGCAUGCUAUAAAAGUAGGAUCACCUUCUGUCAUUUAUGCCACACCUGUUUUUAUUGGUGGAAAGACUUCAAGUCGUAUUUUAAUCUAAUAUCAAGAUUUUCAAGAUGUAUUUGAAAAAAAGAAUGUGAAUACUCUUUCAGAACAUCGUUCCUAUGACUGCUCAAUUGACCUUCUGUCACGGAUAUACAUAUAAUUACCUACAAGAGUCGAUAAAAGUAUGUAAAAGUAGAUAAAAAUUGGUUAAUUGUACAAUAUCUUCUAGAAAAGCUUCCAAGAAUCUUCAUAGAUGCUGCUUUGACCUUAUAUGAGUCCAUAGUUGACUAUUAGGUUAGAAACUUGGUCAACAAGUUAGCCAUGUGUCACACAUGUUGGUAGCUUGAAGGACAAGCUAACUACGUAGUCCACUCAUAGAAAACUUGCCUUGCAAGCAAAGACAUGUGGCCUAGAAAGUCAACACAUAUUAGAGGUCUUAUAGAAUAUCACCACGUGGCUUCUAGUUAGAUAAUAUAUAUAGAGGCAAGAGUGAAGCUCUCUUCACUCUUGUCAACUCCUUUCUUGCUUCUAAUCUAGUUUCAAGGGUCUCUAGUUUUCUUGUAUUUUGGCAAUAGCCAUUCCAGUUUCUCUUUCAAUAUAUAUAUUUGUUUAUUUACCUCUCUUUGAGUAAAGGCUCACUUGUCUAAAUUAUUUUUCAUCGAGUUCUUGUCCUUGACACCUUCAAGAAGGAGCAUAAUCGCUAUUUCGACCAAUCUACAAGUUAUUUCAAAAUGAGUUGACUGAACUCAAGGAGUAUAUUGAAGAGAAUUUGGCCAAGAACUUCAUACGCCAUUCCAAAUGUCUAGCAGAAGCUCCAAUUUUAUUUAUGAAGAAAAAAGAUGGAUCAUUGUGGAUGUGUGUUGAUUAUCGAGGACUCAAUAAAAUCACUAUAAAAAAUAGGUACCUGCUACCUUUGUUAUCUAGACUUCUUGAUCAGUUGAAUCAAGCUAAGAUCUAUACAAAAAUAGAUCUAUAGAGAGCAUAUAAUUUGGUAUGCAUCAAAGAAGGAGAUGAAUGGAAGACUAUGUUUCGAACAAGGUAUAGACAUUUUGAAUACAACGUCAUACCUUUUGGACUUAUAAAUGCACCAGUAGCAUUCCAACAUUUAAUGAACGAUGUCUUUUAGAAGUUUUUAGAUGAUUUUGUUGUUUGUUAUUUAGACGACAUCUUGAUCUAUUCUAAGAACUCAGAAGAAUAUGAACUUCAUAUUUGCCAAGUAUUACAAAAACUAAGAGAUGCAAGACUCUAUCCCAAGAUAGAAAAGUGUGUAUUUCACACUACUUAAGUUGACUUCUUAGGAUACAUCAUUUCAAAUGAUGGACUUAUGAUGGAUCCUAAGAAAGUUCAAACUAUUAUAGAUUGGAAGAUCCUAAAAAUGGUAAGAGAUGUCCAAUGCUUUUUGGAAUUUGCCAACUACUAUCGGAUCUUCAUCAAAGACUUCUCUCAAGUUGCAGUUCCACUUAUAUGUUUGACUUGCAAAGAAAAACUUCAAUGGAAUCAAGAAGCAAAAGUAACAUUUGAAGCUUUGAAGACAGCCUUUGUUUCUGCAUCAAUCUUGUAUUGUGUCAAUUUUUCUAAGCCAUUUUUUAUGGAAACAAACGCAUUAGACUUUGCUUUGGGUGCCGUAUUGUCACAAAUAGAAACAGAUGAUAAACUUCACUCAAUAGCUUUUCAUUCUAGAAAAUUUUUAGCAGUUGAGAUCAACUACGUGUCACGGACAUACACAUGUAAGCUAAUAAUUACAUGUAUAAAUAAGUAGAAGUAAAUAAAAGUAAAUAAAAGUAAGUUAAUUCUAUAGUAUUUGAUAUACAAGCUUCCUAAAAGCUUCAUAGAUGCUGCUUUGACUUUAUAGGUAUCUUUAAUUGAUUUUUUGGAUUAGAAACAUGGUCAACAAGUUGGCCAUGUGCCACAUAUGUUAUUAGCUUGAAGACCAAGCUAAUAAUAUAGCCCACACGUAAAAAAACUUGUCUUGUAAGUUAAGGCAUGUAUCCUACAAAGUCAACACAUAUUGGAGA
rnacentral:lncRNA from 1 species